GACAGGGUAGCCUAGUGGACAUGGCACCUGCCCGGUAAGCAGAAGGUUGUGGGUUCGAUUCCCGCCCCUGGACA